UAUAAAAAAGAGUAUAAGAUUGAAUUCAUUGUGUUGAAGCCAUUACCAUCCAUAAACCUUAAUCUAAUUACUUUUGUUCACUCUCAAAGCUUCAAAUUCUCAUCUUUGUGACUUCAAGUGCUAUUUUUAGAUUUGUUGGCUGUUGUUGCAAAUUGUGGAUCUAUGAAAUAUCAUGGCACUGAAGAAAAAAGAUCUCUAGAAACUAUUGUGAUUGAUGACAAACCUUUCUUGUUUUCCAUACUAGGAAAGCUAGCAGACAAUGAAGGAGUACAAUUACAGGAGCAGCUACAACAAUACCAUGUGAUUCUUGCAAAACGAAUAGUUGUUUCUCACUUUAAAAAAGGCUCAAACUUUUUAUGUUGAAGACAAGAUGUCAUUACCAAAUAAAUUCCCAUACUUUUACGUGCUUUUAUGCUCAGAGUGUAAACAUUUGGUACGAAUGAAGCGGAAAAAAAUAAUUCAAUACAUAAAUUGCAAGUUCCGCAAAAUGUUGAUUCCAAGGUGCGAAUUUGAAGUUGAAAUCACUGAUGCGAACGGGACAAUAACAACAACUGUAUCAGAGAAUUUGGCUGAAAGAAUGCUUUCAAUGACAGCAAAGCAAAUAUAUGAAACUACCGCUAUCAAAGUACAAGUAAACAUAACGCUAAAAUGAACUCAGCUUACAAGAAAUUUCAUCUUACAGCUUUUAAACAUUUUUAUGCAGAAGCAAUUGAUGCCCUUUGAGCACAUCCGAGAAGAGCUCUUGCAGAAAUCGUUCAAAAUUCACUUGCAAAAGUCACUGCUUUGGACGCCGGAUAGAACACCUGGUUCAUUAGUGGUUCUAUCUUACAGUCAAAAACAAACCACCUUUGAUUUACCACAAGUUUCAACACCAAUAAACAUUCGUGAGAGAAGUAAAAAAAAAAGAUAGAAUCCAUAACUUCUACAAAAGAAUAUCAUGCCUCAUCAAUAAAAGAAGCGUCAUCGAGCAAAAAAUCUAAAAUAUAAGUAUUGACACCAAUACAAUAACACUGAAGGUUAGCAAAAAUCCAAAUCUCAUGACAUCCAAGCUAUUGUCUUUCUUCUAUUAUUACUUAUUCUGAAUUAUUUUUUUCCUCUCCUUGAGAAUUUAUUGUUCCUGUAAAUCAGGGAGCAGAUUUUGAGUAAAGUAUAGAUUGCCUGAAUGUUGUAGCAUCUACAAAUGUUUUUGUAUAUCCUACGUCAGCUACAACAUCUACCAAUGUUUUUUGAUAUCCUACAACUCCUGUACCACCAAUGGUUGAAACAGAUUUUGAUGAAGUUGUUGGCUGCAAUACAAUGUUCUAUAUAUGUUUGUUAAUUAGCCGUUGUGACUUAUGGACAGAUGUUGAUGCAGUUGUUU